AGUCCUGGGGAUUUCCGACAGUUUUGUUCUGCUUGUGUAAAUGAUAGUAUGGUAAGUCUGGAGUGCCCAGGAUUGUGGCUUUGCCAUGCUCACUCAUGUUAUUCAAUGAAGGCAAGCAUACAUACUCUCAGAUCUACUGAACAUACACAGAACUGUGCAGAGUCAGUCUGGAUGCUUCCUGAAAUGCUGGGUUUGUAACACAUGGUCUAUAGAGCUCAUUUACACAUAUCUCCAUCUGGGAAAUCCCAGAGAAAGGGUUAUGGCAGCCUGACUAUUAAAUUAAUUUAAUUUUCUUUCCUUAAGGGCAUCUCCAUUUAACAGCAGUCACAGUUUUAUCCUCUGAAAAGAAAUUCUGAAGUUGUGCUUAGCUAACCCUAAUUAUUUGUCAAUUUAUGUUUGCAUCCUCCUGUGACCCAUCUUCAGAGCACCUGGUAUGAGCCUGCUCUCAGGACUCAGGAGUACCACCAAGAACCCAAAGGUUUGCUCCCGACAGCUGUAGGAGCCACACAAUGAGAUAGAGUCAAGAGGACGUUAGAUCAGGGGAGCGCUAGCAUUACAGGUAGCACAAGAAUUAGUUGUAACCCAUCACUGGAUAUGAAGUGAUGCAACAUGAUGAGUGUGAGUAGUGGCCCACCAUGACAAAGUGGAGGAGGUAAGGAAAGAGAUGGCAAUAGGACUAGGAAGUCUUGCAGUUUGGAUCACUCCUGAAACACUGGAUUUCUGCCAAUGUUUUAAUCAGCGGUAUUUUGAGGCAUCUCUGAGGAGGGAGUUUAAAGCCAAAAACCGGUCACAGACUUUUCACACUGGGAAUUCACUAUUGAUGAUUUGUCACACGAAACUGGGCAGCUAAAAGCUACUCUGAUGGUCUGGACUGGUUGGCUAAAGCUCUUUAAACCUAGAAUA